CUUGCUAUUUAUAAUUUCCAUACAAAGUUUGUUUGUAUGUAUCCUGCUCAAACAGGCCAAGGUUUUUAAGAAUACAUUUUCAAUAGUUCUUAGUGAUGCCUUGUUUCCACGUUUUGUCGUUCCUGGAAUUUUUUUCGUUAAUUCCUUUUCGUUUAUUAUGCUAUGCAAAAGAACCGAUUAUUAUUAUUUGAUUUUAUUGCCUUUGCCAACAUUUUAGAAUUUCAGAAAUUAACUAAUCUUCCUAUGGCUAUUGAGUUUAUUGAAUGUGUGCUUUUGCACUUACAUUUUAAUGUACUUUCCCUUUACACAUGGAGUUUAAUAGCUAUUUUGCUCUUAAGCUAAAAUAUGAAGUUCGACAUCGAGCAAACACUCAUACGCUGUCGAGUGCCAUCAAACGAAUUCUUGUUAACGAGAACCAACCAAAAUGCACAUUCGACGUCGAGUUCGCUUGAUAACGAGAACCGUAAAUCAGUUUGUAUAUAAGCGUUCUGACAUCAUCACUAAAAAUAUAAUUACCUGUUUAAAUUUACUACAUGCAACAUUACGUUACUGUUAUUGGAAAAAAUUUUUGUCAUCCGCACCUCAACAAAACAGUGUACUAAAACAAAUCUCCUUUAUUAGUUUUUGCUUCAUCGGCUAUAACUACGUUAGGGCAAUAAAACGGUUGAUUGUCCCGCUAAUAGAGGUCCGCAAGUGGCCAUGACAGAUUCUGAACUUUUUUGUGAAGCCAUGCUAAAAAACUAACAUCGCAAUGAGCACAGACAAAGUCGGAUUGCCAUUGGAAGCAAUGCACAGAACAACGGCAAACAAAAACAUUUACAAGACAUUCCGGUACUGUACAUUACAUAAGCUACUGGAACUAAGAAGGAUCGAUCUCCUUUUGGUCGCAGGCCUCCUGUAGGGAUCAUAAUUCCUCAGUUAUCAGCUGGAAAACAUGAAUAUCUCCGACACCGGUUCAUGCAGAUUGUACCAUCAUAUCCUAUGUGAAUGCGAGGCCAUCUGCAGAAACAGACACAAAGUGUUUGGCGAGGAAUGCCCACACAAUAAUAUUAAGUUUCGCGUUUCAAUUUAAAAAUACUCCGUUUGUCUGCAGUAUAAUACAUAUCUCCGUUUCAAAGCUCUUAUGCAAUGUUACAACUAAAUAUAUGCUCAUCAAAAAAAUGUAAGUGUCACUAUUCCUACCCUUUAUUCUUUUAUACAGCGUCGCAAAACUAAUACACCCUAAUCAAAAUGUGUUAAAUAAUAAAACCAAGUACAUCACUUUUCGGUUAAUGCUAAAUUGUCAAUCGGUUUGUGUUUUUGACAUAUAUACAUGUAUUUAGUUUUUAUAUAUAUGCAGAUACGGAAACCAUGUCCGGGAAAAUUAUUGUUAAAGUCUUUCAAGAGAGAACAACAAAACAGUAGAAGCUAGAACGUAAUAUUAAAAUUGAAAAUUGUCAUUACACCCUACGCCACUUGCCGUACAAAUUUGUAAAUUUGUGCCGACUUAUACGACACGCAGAAGAACUAGAAAUAGAUCCACUUUUUAAUAUACCGAUCGGCUCAGAAUCACUUUCUAACUUUUGUCUGUCCGUCUUGUUCCCUUGUGUUCAGC